rnacentral:rRNA from 1 species
AGUGAACGCUGGCGGCGUGCCUAAUACAUGCAAGUCGAACGGACAAGUAAGAGCUUGCUCUUAUGAGUUAGUGGCGCACGGGUGAGUAAUGUAUAGCUAAUCUGCCCUACACUAGAGGACAACAGUUGGAAACGACUGCUAAUACUCUAUACUCCUGUCUUACAUAAGUUAGAUAGGGAAAGUUUUUCGGUGUAGGAUGAGGCUAUAUUGUAUCAGCUAGUUGGUGAGGUAAUGGCUCACCAAGGCUAUGACGCAUAACUGGUCUGAGAGGAUGAUCAGUCACACUGGAACUGAGACACGGUCCAGACUCCUACGGGAGGCAGCAGUAGGGAAUAUUGCUCAAUGGGGGAAACCCUGAAGCAGCAACGCCGCGUGGAGGAUGACACUUUUCGGAGCGUAAACUCCUUUUGUUAGGGAAGAACAAUGACGGUACCUAACGAAUAAGCACCGGCUAACUCCGUGCCAGCAGCCGCGGUAAUACGGAGGGUGCAAGCGUUACUCGGAAUCACUGGGCGUAAAGGACGCGUAGGCGGAUUAUCAAGUCUCUUGUGAAAUCCUAUGGCUUAACCAUAGAACUGCUUGGGAAACUGAUAAUCUAGAGUGAGGGAGAGGCAGAUGGAAUUGGUGGUGUAGGGGUAAAAUCCGUAGAGAUCACCAGGAAUACCCAUUGCGAAGGCGAUCUGCUGGAACUCAACUGACGCUAAUGCGUGAAAGCGUGGGGAGCAAACAGG